ACACUAGCAAGUCGAACGGUAGCACAGAGAGCAUUGCUCUCGGGUGACGAGUGGGGCACGGGUGAGUAAUGUCUGGGAAACUGCCCGAUGGAGGGGGAUAACUACUGGAAACGGUAGCUAAUACCGCAUAAGUCGCAAGACCAAAGAGGGGGACCUUCGGGCCUCUUGCCAUCGGAUGUGCCCAGAUGGGAUUAGCUUGUAGGUGAGGUAACGGCUCACCUAGGCGACGAUCCCUAGCUGGUCUGAGAGGAUGACCAGCCACACUGGAACUGAGACACGGUCCAGACUCCUACGGGAGGCAGCAGUGGGGAAUAUUGCACAAUGGGCGCAAGCCUGAUGCAGCCAUGCCGCGUGUAUGAAGAAGGCCUUCGGGUUGUAAA
rnacentral:rRNA from 1 species